GUCUUUUUGAUUAUAAUUUAAAGUCUAACCUGCCCACUGAAAUUUUUGAAGGGCCGCGGUAUUUUGACUGUGCAAAGGUAGCAUAAUCAUUAGUCUUUUAAUUGAAGGCUUGUAUGAAUGGUUGGAUGAGGUAUUAACUGUCUCAAUUUAAUAAAUAAUAGAAUUUUAUUUUUAAGUUAAAAAGCUUAAAUGAAGUUAAAAGACGAGAAGACCCUAUAGAUCUUUAUAAUUAAUUUUAUUAUAAUUUUUUAGAUGAAAUUUAUUUUUAUAAAAUUAAUUAUUUUAUUGGGGUGAUGAAAAAAUUUAAAAAACUUUUUUUGUAUAUAAACAAUUAUAUUUGGUUAAUUGAUCCAUUUUUUGUGAUUAUAAGAUUAAGUUACCUUAGGGAUAACAGCGUAAUUUUUUUGGAGAGUUCUUAUCGAUAAAAAAGAUUGCGACCUCGAUGUUGAAUUAAAGGUUAAUUUUAGGUGUAGAAGUUUAAAAUUUUGGUCUGUUCGACCAUUGAAUC
rnacentral:rRNA from 1 species